UACGGAGGGGGCAAGCGUUGUUCGGAGUUACUGGGCGUAAAGCGCACGUAGGCGGUGCGGUAAGUCAGGGGUUAAAGGCUGCAGCUCAACUGCAGUAAGGCCUUUGAUACUAUCGCGCUAGAGUACCAGAGAGGAUGGCGGAAUUCCCGGUGUAGCGGUGAAAUGCGCAGAUAUCGGGAGGAACACCAGUAGCGAAGGCGGCCAUCUGGCUGAUAACUGACGCUGAGGUGCGAGAGCGUGGGGAGCAAACAGG
rnacentral:rRNA from 1 species